rnacentral:rRNA from 1 species
AGUGAACGCUGGCGGUAGGCCUAACACAUGCAAGUCGAACGGCAUCACAUUAAGAGCUUGCUCUUUCGGAGGGCGAUUAGCGGACGGGUGAGGAAUACAGCGGAAUCUACUCUUUCGUGGUGGAUAACGUAGGUAAACUUAGGCUAAUACCGCAAACGACCCAUGGGUUAAAGCAGGGAAUCUUCUCACCUUGCGCGAAUUAAUGAGCCGAUGUCGGAUUAGCUAGUUGGCGGGUUAAUGGCGCACGAACGCGACGAUACGUAGACGGUCUGAGAGGGUGAUGCGGUAGACUGGAACUGAGAAACGGUGGAGACACCUAAGCGAAGAAGCAGUGGGAAAUAUUAGAGAAUGGACGCAAGCGUGAUACAGCCAUACCGCGUGGGUGAAGAAGGACUUAGGGUUGUAAAGCCCUUUUGUUAGGAAAGAAAAGCAGUAGGUUAAUAUCCCAAUGUUCUGACGGUACCAAAGGAAUAAGCACCGGCUAACUUCGUG